CCCUCCCUCUUUCUUCAUGCCUAACACAUGCAAGUCGAACGACACCUUCGGGUCUCGUGGCGCACGGGUGCGUAACGCGUGGGAACCUGCCCUUAGGUUCGGAAAACCUCCCCGACAGGGGUGCUAAUACCGGAUAAUGUAUUCGGACAAAAGAUUUAUCGCCUUUGGAUGGGCCCGCGUUGGAUUAGCUAGUUGGUAGGGUAAAAGCCUGCCAAGGCGACGAUCCAUAGCUGGUCUGAGAGGAUGAUCAGCCACACUGGGACUGAGACACGGCCCAGACUCCUACGGGAGGCAGCAGUGGGGAAUAUUGGACAAUGGGCGAAAGCCUGAUCCAGCAAUGCCGCGUGAGUGAUGAAGGCCUUAGGGUUGUAAAGCUCUUUUACCCGGGAUGAUAAUGACAGUACCGGGAGAAUAAGCGCCGGCUAACUCCGUG
rnacentral:rRNA from 1 species